rnacentral:rRNA from 1 species
GUGAACGCUGGCGGUAGGCCUAACCCAUGCAAGUCGAACGGCAGCACAGUAAGAGCUUGCUCUUACGGGUGGCGAGUGGCGGACGGGUGAGGAAUACAUCGGAAUCUACUUUUUCGUGGGGGAUAACGUAGGGAAACUUACGCUAAUACCGCAUACGACCUACGGGUGAAAGCAGGGGAUCUUCGGACCUUGCGCGAUUGAAUGAGCCGAUGUCGGAUUAGCUAGUUGGCGGGGUAAAGGCCCACCAAGGCGACGAUCCGUAGCUGGUCUGAGAGGAUGAUCAGCCACACUGGAACUGAGACACGGUCCAGACUCCUACGGGAGGCAGCAGUGGGGAAUAUUGGACAAUGGGCGCAAGCCUGAUCCAGCCAUACCGCGUGGGUGAAGAAGGCCUUCGGGUUGUAAAGCCCUUUUGUUGGGAAAGAAAAGCAGCAGGUUAAUACCCCGCUGUUCUGACGGUACCCAAAGAAUAAGCACCGGCUAACUUCGU